GACGCUUAACCAACUGAGCCACCCAGGCUCCCUGAAUAGACUCAUUCUAUAGGAGUUUUUGUCCUAGAGAACUUGCAAAUAGAUGCUCCAGCUCCCAGGUUGGAGGAAGGGCCCUAAGGAAUAUGUGGAAGGCGGCAUCGUCGCCUGCUUGGAUUAUGACAAUGGCCUCCUAACUGUUCUCCCACUUCCACGUUGGGCCCCCAACAUCCAUCAUGCUGGAACAGAGGGACCCUGCUUCACACUCCACAUGAUACCCUCCCUCUAACCCAGGGUGGUCAGCAGGUCAUGGCAAGCGGGAGACGUGAUGCUAAUGACUCCGGCUCCACGUGGCGACCAUUCAGGAAAAAGCUGCAAUGUUCUCUCUGCCACAUUAAUCAGAGAAACACAUCAAGAGCUGUUGCAUGGAGACAGCUUUCCUCCCAGUACCUGCCCUGCAUGCUAAUCACCACCCCUCCUGGCGAACACCUGCCAUAUAUGAGGCGCCAUACCAGGCACAAGAGAGACAAGGAGACGCAAAACAGGCAUCAACGUAGUAUUACCACAAAUAGCUGAUUGCAGAAUGUGAUAAGAGUCAUGAGAAGCAGCGGGUUCCAUGCAACUGUGUAAUGGGAAGCCCGUUCACAUGUGAGAGCCUUCAUCAGGUCACGCAGGUUUGCAGACCCCUCCUUCCAUCAUUCUGUCUACAAGUACCUAUCAAUCGUUCAUUCGGGCACGGUGCACCAGGACAUGGUGGUGGGCGGGACAGAGAGUUUCUCCCUCAGGAGUAGCCUGGUGGGCAAGACA